AAUAACCGAAGAUUACAGCAGGGUUUAAUGUUGGGUUAGUAAUAACACGAACAUCACCACCACCAGGGGCCCAAGUAUCGUACACACCGCCAAAGAACAUUGCCUUCAGCACCAACAGCAACGCACCACAUCCCAGGAUGAUUAGGUGGAAGCCGAUGAUGUUGGUCAUCUUGUUCUUGUCUUUCCA
rnacentral:antisense_RNA from 20 species